GCCGCGGUAAUACGUAGGGGGCGAGCGGUGUCCGGAUUUAUUGGGCGUAAAGGGCGUGUAGGCGGCCUUGUAAGUCGGAGGUGAAAACCUAGGGCUCAACCCUGGGACUGCCUCCGAUACUGUGAGGCUUGAGUGCUCUAGAGGGCAGUGGAAUUCCCGGUGUAGCAGUGAAAUGCGUAGAUAUCGGGAGGAACACCAGUGGCGAAGGCGACUGCCUGGGGAGCAACUGACGCUGAGGCGCGAAAGCUGGGGGAGCGAACGG
rnacentral:rRNA from 1 species